CUAUAUGUAUUCCGAUCCGUGUCAGAAUUGUAUUGUUACAACUUCUCCGGUAUGCAAUCAAUGUCGGAGCAAUUUAGGCUCUCUAAUUCAGAACAAUUUAUGGCAACACCUUUAUGUGUAUGUGUUUGUGUAUGUGCUUGGGCCUAGUAAUUGAAACACCUUAGUUGCUGGAUGAGUUUCACGCAAUAAACUAAAGUUGUCUGGGACAGAACUAGGAGGAUACUCUUCCUUUGCUUCUGGGAAAAUAUUUUAAGUUUUAUUUCUUCCUUUUCAUUUUAACUAUUUAAAUUAGAAUUUUAAUUGGAAUGAUGUUCCAUUCUCCUUUUUUGUUGUACAAUUUUUGUUAUAAAAAGAAUUAAACUUCCUUUAUUAACUAGUGAAAAAAGCCGCGCUUCGCGGCAGCAUUAUAAAUGUUUUAUGAAUUUUGACAAAAAAUUGUUUAGCCACUUUCCUGUCAAACAUAAUACUAAUUAGAAAAUUUAUUAUUAUUUAGAUAAAAAUUAAUUUGGGUCGCCCUCCACUCAAACACAAUACUAAUAAAGAAUCUUUUUUAUAAAUUUUGAUACGAAAAAAUAUUAUAAUUGCAUAAAAGUUAUUUCGAGUCGUGUUCCCAUUAAACAUAUCAUUAAUAAAAAAUACCAUAAUUAAUAUAAAAAUUUGUUUAAGUGACCCUCCUGUCUAACACAAUACUAAUAAAAAAAUUGUUUGACCCGCACUCUCAUCAAAGACAAUAUUAAUCAAUAAUUAUUAUAAUUAUGAUAAAAUUAAAUAUAAUAUAUAUAGAUAAAAAAUAGUUUGAGCCACUAUAAUGUCAAACACAAUGCUAAUAACAAACCAUUAUAAUAUAGAUAUUAGUUUGAAUCGCCCUAGCGUCAAACACAAUACUAAUAAAAAUUAUUAUAAUUAUGAUAAAGUUAAAGAUUAUAACUGGAUAAAAAUUAUUUUAGUUGUGCUACCGUUUUGAUAAAAAAAAUAUUAUAAGUUUGAUAAAAAAAAAAUUAUUUUAGCCGCUUUCCCGUCAAACAUAAUACUAAUAGAAAAUUUAUUAUUAUUUAGAUAAAAAUUAAUUUGGGUCGCGUCCCCUCAAACACAAUACUAAUCAAGAAUCAUUUACAUUAUGAUAAAAUUAUAAUUAUAAUUGGAUAAAUAUAUCCAAUUUCAUAGAUUUUAGCUAUUAUAUUUUUCUUUAAGAUUCCUAUUUCUUAACUGUUUAGAAUUAUCUCUUUUCUUUGAAGAUUCCUAUUUAUUCACUGCUUAGAAUUUCAUAGAUUUUAUCUAUUAUAUUUUUGUUAAAAUUCCUAUUUCUUAACUACUUAGAAUUGUAUCUUUUUUAUGAUUUUAUUUUUUAGCUACUUUACCUAUUUUUUCUCAAAAAAUUAGAAAUUUAAACGGAAAGCUUCUAGAGACUUCACGUAACCUCCCGCGUAUACUCUCAGGAAUCAUUUGCAUUGUAACAUCUAAUUCUUUUUGUUUUACAAUAAAGAAUUUGUUAAUGGCAUGUGAGUCCGGUGAAAUUAACCGUGGCCUUAGGCCAUCUCCAGCAGUUGUGAUCCAAAAAUCCAAAUUUAGAUCACCAACUGAUCCAAUUUUUGACCAACAAUUUCUGACCAACUCCAGCAGCGUGAUCCAAAUUCUGAUCCAAAUUACUUUUUGUAUAUUAUAUUACAUAAAUUUUAUAUUAAACUAUAUAAUCUUAAAUUUCAUUUUAAUCGUUAUUAACUACUUAUAGUAUAUUUAAUUAAUUUUUUAACAUCGAUGAAAGUAUCUCAAAAUCAAGGAAAUAAUCUGUUUGACUAAAUCAAAAUUUAUAUGUAUCGUACUGUUUUCUAAUCAUUUCCCGGUAUUGUAAUUUUAUUUUAUGCAUAUUAUGUAUUUUUUAUUUUAUGCAUAUAAUGUACUUUUUUUUUCAAAAAUUCUAUAUCUAUACUAUACUAUUAAAGCCGAAACAUUAAAAAUUUGGUCGGUCGGUACACGGAAUUUUAUACGGACUUUUAUAAUUAAUGGGAUUCAAACAAAAUUAGUGGGCUUCAAAAAAAUAUAGACAAAUCAAAAUAUAAAACAAAUAUACGAUCAAAACAUAAAACAAAUAUAAAACCUAUUUGACUAUACCACAACUAAAGUCAAACCUUAAAAAAUAUUAUACUAUUAAAGCUGAAACAUUAAAAACUGUGUUGAACCUCGGUUACAAAUGUGUUGAAUGCACGAUUUAUUUACACGUUAUUUUUAAAAACUGUGAUGUUUUUACAAUAAUUUUCAAUAUGGGCCUAUCUAUAUGCCAAUUAUUCUUUUUAACUAAAAUAUGUUUUUUUUUAUAUUUUCUAACUAAAAAAACUCCAUUAUUUAAAUUAACAUCGAAAAACAUAGUUCUGACCAAAAAACGGAUCUAUUACAAUUAACACGGGCUACAUAUAUCAUAAUUUUAUUCUCACAAUAAUAAUAGUUUACUAUACUAUUAAAGCCGAAACAUUAAAUAUUUGAUCGAUCGGUACUUGGGCCAAAUUAUGGCCUACUUAUAUAAUUCAUUAUCUUUUUAACUAAAUCAAUUAUCUUUUUUUGUAUGUUCUAACUAAAAAACUCAAUUUUCUAAAAAUAAUAUUGGACAACAUAGCAACUACCUCUUUUUAACUAAAACACGUUAUCUUUUUCAGAAUCCUAACUUAAAAAUCGAUUUUCCAAAAAUAACACAUGAAACAUUCAUAUAAAAACGAUAUUAUAUAUCUAGAGGAGGGUUCUGAUACAAACUUACAAACUUUUUUUGUUCAACACAUAUAUAUAAUUCAAGUUCAACAUUUUUUUAAGAUAUUCUGUUCAACAUCGAUUUAAAUUGUGUUGGAGUAGUACAUAAACUAAUUUCUCAAUGUAAGAACUAAGCUAAACGUAUUAUAUAACCAAUAUUUAUUUUUCUAGACCCUACCCAAACCCAUCUAUUAAUAUAUUCAACCCAAUCAUAAUUAAUGUUCUUACACCCAUUGUUGAACCUCGGUUACAAAUUUGUUGAAUACGCGAUUUAUUUACACGUUAUUUUUAAAAACUGUGAUGUUUUUUCAAUAAUUUUCAAUAUGGAUACUUUCUAUAACCAAAUAUUAACACGUUGGGAGAAUAAAAAAAAUUCAAAAAAAAAGUUUGUAAGUUUGUAACUUAAAAAAGUUUUUAUUUGAUUCUAUCCCUAUAUAUCUAUAUUAUUAUACUUUUUUGACAGAAUAUUAUUAUACUAUUAAAUCCGAAACAUUGAAAGUUUGGUCAGUCAGUACUUGGUCAAAAUACGGGUCUAUCUAUAUACCAAUUAUUCUUUUUAAUUAAAAUAUGUUAUCUUUUUUAAUAUUUUCUAACUAAAAAAACUCCAUCAUUUAAAAUAAUAUCGAGAAACAUAGUAAUUACCUUUUUAACUAAAACACAUUAUCUUUUUUAUAUUUUCUAACUAAAAAACAGAUCUUCUACAAUUAACACGAGCUACAUAUAUAAAAAUAUAAUAUCAUUAUAUAUAAUUAUUAAUAACCUGUGAUAUUUUUCAACCAAAAUACAUUAACAUUAUUUUUAGAUACACUAAUAGACUCACUUUAAAAGUAAUAUUAUAAAUCUGUAAUAUACUAUUAUACUAUUAAAUUCGAAACAUGAAAAGUUCAGUUAGUGAGUAGGUGUCGAGUUUGGUGAGCCAGUUGGUAUUCGACCCACGAAUGUCUUUAUUUAUAACAUUUUGUAAUAUUUUUUUUAUUAUCUAUUAAAUCAAAACAUUUAGGUUAGUAUGAUGGGUCGGAAUUUGGUUUUACGCGUCUUUUUUAACUUAAUAUGUUCCAUACUAUUUUAUUAAUUAUCAAUAACGAAAUAUUAAAAUAUUGAUUGGUUGAUUUAUAUAUGAUUUUAUAGAUCUCCUUAAAUUAUAACAUGAAAAACAAACGUAUUUUAACAUUCUCAGUAAAAUAUAUAUGUUCGACCUAAUUUUUAAUUAGCCAUUUGACGAAAUUAACUAUUAAGAAUUUAUCAUCUGUUAAAUAAAAAAUUUAUUUAAUCAUAUUAUUUUAUCAUAAUUUUAAUCUCAUAAUAAUAUUAGUUUAAGUUAAAAUAUAUACGAUAAAAUAACAAAUAUUAUAACCGUCCGUGCAUUGCACGGGUUAUAAGCUAGUAAUAAUAUAUAUAUAUACUCUUUUUUAAAUUUCAAUGAAAUUUGCUUUCCUAUUAUUCCAAGUUUUGACCAAAACAUUAAUUUUAUUAUUUAUUAAUUAUAAAGUAUUUUUAAUUAAAUAUUAAUAAUCACAAAUUAUUUUUAAGUACGAUAAACGAAAGAUAUAGAAGUAACAAAAUCAUUGGAUCAGUACUAUUCACUGAUCCAAAUUUGGAUCACUUUUUGGAUCACUGCUGGAGGAGAAUUUGGGGUAAUCUGUCCCAAAUUUGGAUCUUUGGAUCUGGGUUUGCCGUUAUAGAAUGAUGGUGCAGUAGAUGCGGAGCUAUCGUGGUUAACUACGUUAGUAAGCUUGUAAUCAAAAAUAAGAAUUAUAUUACUUUUGUGAUUCCUAAAUAAGAGUAAAAAUUGCAUUACUUCUACAAUUCCUUUUUUAGAUUUUUGAGUAUUAGCUUUAGAAUCCGCUAAGAAAAGAAUUAUAUUAUCUUUAAAAUUCUUAAAGCUGAUUUUUUAAUUAUAAUUAUAUAUUCUUUCCGAAAUUUGAGAAAAUUAUAAGACUGAAUCGAACAAUUCUAGAGACGUCCUGCAUUUACCUAUUUUCUCUUAAAAAAAUUAAAAAAAAUAAACGGAAACCUUGGUUCACGUAGUUUGCAGGCUAUUGUGGGAGCUCGUGGGUUUACCAAGUGCGCAUNUACUGGAAAUUAUUGCGGACAUGCAUUAUUUGGAGCUCAAAUAUUUGUUUUUCCCUUAAACUGGUGAAUGCAGGAACUUUUUGAAUGUUUUAUAAACCUCAAUGAUGAAGUAGAAACUCGAAGCCGAUUAUUUUGAAAGGCUUGAGAGACGCAAAAAAUACGGGAAGAAAAGAUUAAGAAUAAACCGUGAGUCAAAAAGAUAGGGACCAAAGAAAGAAUUGUAUUAAUGUAUUAUCUUUAGAUACCAAUAACAAAAGAAUUCUAUUAGAUUUAAAAUCCUCUAAACUGAAUUUUUGAAUUAUAAUUAUAUUUUCUCUCCAAAAUUUAAGAAAAAUCAGAAGACUGAAUGGAACAAUUCUAGAGACACCCGCAUCCUCCUUUAUAUAUAUAUAUUGACCGUUCUUUUUCUCUGUUCUCCAUACUAUUUAAUUUUAAAUUUAUAUUACCAUCAUUCUUCAUAUUAUCCCAAUCAAGUGAAUACAUCUUAAAGAAACAUCAGAAAAUGAUAUAGAUAUCUUAAAGAAACAUAAAGCGAUAGAUAGGUUACCUAGGUUACCUGUCUCCUAAAUACUGGAUCAUACUUUUGACAUGAUUUUAGAUUGCGGUAUUUAGAAUCCAGAUCCAAAUCAAAUAUAAUUUUAAUCGAUAAAUGAAUUUUUGGACUUAUCAGAAUUUUUGGAAAAAUAGAGAAUUCAAUCAAAUCAUAAAUUAAUAAAAUAUUCUUUUAAUUAAUCAGAAAUUAGUCAAAAAAGUUUAAUAAAUCAAAAAUUUUAGAAGAGUGUUCUACAAUUAACAUUUGUCAUUCCAAAAUAAAUUAACCAGCCCCUAAAGGUAAAAAAUAAAAAAAAAAAAUCCACCAAACUGUAUGUCCAUGAGCAUACUUGAGAUUUACUCAAUUCAACGACUCUCUUUAUUAUCACAAGGACAGACAAACCACCGAAUGAAUCUCCCUCCGAUCACCACCCCUCUAUCUCUACACACAUAUCAUCUCUCUCCGGCCACUCAGAUAUGAACGGAGACAGUUCUUUAGAAUUUUUAGGCACUUUGUUUGGUUCUCAACCCAUGUUCUUCGCAUUUUUAAUUAUAUGCAGGGUGUUUUUUCAAGCAUUUCCAAUUUUUAUUUUUAUAUUUUCAACUUAUUGUACUGUGUUUUGGAUAAUCACUGCCAUAUUGUUCUUCCUUGUAUAUUAAUCAUCUUGUAUUACAAACAGGUUUGCCAUCAUGGGAAUCAUGACAAACUACUUUGGGCCUCCUCGACCUGGUUCUCAAAGUUAAACUUUUGAUCAUGCACUUGGUGGAGCACCUCGGAGUACUGUUUAUGAUCCUUAUUAUUGUUACAUUAGUGCGGAUUCCAUGGAUUUUGCAGUCUGUAAUGAACUUCUUGGAUUAUCUUGUGUUGCAGCUUUAGAACGUACUGUGUUUAUCUUCUAUAUGUAUACCGAUCUGUGUCAGAAUUGUAUUGUUACAACUUCUCCGGUAUGCAAUCAAUGUCGGAGCAAUUUAGGCUCUCUAAUUCAGAACAAUUUAUGGCAACACCUUUAUGUGUACGUGUUUGUGUAUGUGCUUGGGCCUAGUAAUUGAAACACCUUAGUUGCUGGAUGAGUUUCACGCAAUAAACUAAAAGUUGUC
rnacentral:lncRNA from 1 species